rnacentral:rRNA from 1 species
UACAGAGGUCUCAAGCGUUGUUCGGAUUCAUUGGGCUUAAAGGGUGCGUAGGCGGUGCGGAAAGUUGGGUGUGAAAUCCCUCGGCUCAACCGAGGAACUGCGCUCAAAACUACCGUACUUGAGGAAGAUAGAGGUGAGCGGAACUUACGGUGGAGCGGUGAAAUGCGUUGAUAUCGUAAGGAACACCCGUGGCGAAAGCGGCUCACUGGGUCUUUUCUGACGCUGAUGCGCGAAAGCUAGGGGAGCAAACGGG